UACGGAGGGAGCUAGCGUUGUUCGGAAUUACUGGGCGUAAAGCGCACGUAGGCGGCUUUGUAAGUUAGAGGUGAAAGCCCGGGGCUCAACCCCGGAAUUGCCUUUAAGACUGCAUCGCUAGAAUCGUGGUGAGGUAAGUGGAAUUCCGAGUGUAGAGGUGAAAUUCGUAGAUAUUCGGAAGAACACCAGUGGCGAAGGCGACUUACUGGACACGUAUUGACGCUGAGGUGCGAAAGCGUGGGGAGCAAACAGG
rnacentral:rRNA from 1 species